GACGAACGCUGGCGGCGUGCUUAACACAUGCAAGUCGAGCGGUAAGGCCCUUUCGGGGUACGACGAGCGGCGAACGGGUGAGUAACACGUGGGUGACCUGCCUUUAGUCUCUGGGAUAAGCCUGGGAAACUGGGUCUAAUACCGGAUAUGACCCUAUGGCGCAUGUUGUGGGGUGGAAAGCCUUGUGCGGCUAGGGAUGGGCCCGCGGCCUAUCAGCUUGUUGGUGGGGUGAUGGCCUACCAAGGCGACGACGGGUAGCCGGCCU
rnacentral:rRNA from 1 species